UACGUAGGGGGCGAGCGUUGUCCGGAUUUAUUGGGCGUAAAGAGCGUGUAGGCGGCCAGGUAGGUCUGCUGUGAAAACUCGAGGCUCAACCUCGAGACGUCGGCGGAAACCAUCUGGCUAGAGUCCGGAAGAGGAGAGUGGAAUUCCUGGUGUAGCGGUGAAAUGCGCAGAUAUCAGGAAGAACACCAGUGGCGAAGGCGGCUCACUGGACAUGUAUUGACGCUGAGGUGCGAAAGCGUGGGGAGCAAACAGG
rnacentral:rRNA from 1 species